rnacentral:rRNA from 1 species
CUAAUACCGGAUAAGAAAGCAGAUCGCAUGAUCAGUCUUUUAAAAAGGCGGCGUAAGCUGUCGCUAUGGGAUCGGCCCGCGGUGCAUUAGCUAGUUGGUAAGGUAAAGGCUUACCGAAGGCGAUGAUGCAUAGCCCGAGUUGAGAGACUGAUCGGGCCACAUUGGGGACUGAGACACGGGGCCCAAACUCCUACGGGGGGAGGGCAGCAGGUAGGGGGAAUCUUCCACAAUGGACGCAAGUCUGAUGGAGCAACGCCGCGUGAGUGAAGUAAGGUUUUCGGAUACGUAAAGCUCUGUUGUUGGUGAAGAAGGAUAGAGGUAGUAACUGGUCCUUUAUUUGACGGUAAUCAACCAGAAAGUCACGGCUAACUACGUGCCAGCAGCCGCGGUAAU